AGAGGAAGAGAAGGAAGGGAAAUAAAGUAUAGUUGGAUAGAUCUGAUCUAAUUAAUCCUAUUAAAUUUAGACAUCAAUUGGUUCUAAGGAAUGUGUAAGAUAUAGCAAUAUUUGUUGAUGACACAUGAUAAUUUAUUUAUUUAUUGUUAUUUGUUAUUAUUUGAAUCAUGUGCAUUUUAUGAAGUUAUUUUUGCCAAUAAAUGGUGAUUCUAUAACUGCAUUUAUAGCCUUCCAUUGCUAGUCAUUUGUCAACACUGACUUGCUUCAGGCUGCAAGAUUGUUCAUAACAGUAGAAAUUCAUAUUUUGGCUUCUUGCUGCUGCUGCUUUUAUUCAUCUUUGUCUUUUUAUUUUGUAAU
rnacentral:misc_RNA from 1 species